AUGAACGCUGGCGGCGUGCCUAAUACCUGCAAGUCGCGCGGACAGACGAGGAGCUUGCUCCUCUGACGUUAGCGGCGGACGGGGGAGUAACACGUGGAUAACCUACCUAUAAGACUGGGAUAACUUCGGGAAACCGGAGCUAAUACCGGAUAAUAUAUUUUACCGCCUGGUUCAAUAGUGAAAGACGGUUUUGCUGUCACUUAUAGAUGGAUCCGCGCCGCAUUAGCUAGUUGGUAAGGUAACGGCUUACCAAGGCGACGAUGCGUAGCCGACCUGAGAGGGUGAUCGGCCACACUGGAACUGAGACACGGUCCAGACUCCUACGGGAGGCAGCAGUAGGGAAUCUUCCGCAAUGGGCGAAGGCCUGACGGAGCAACGCCGCGUGAGUGAUGAAGGUCUUCGGAUCGUAAAACUCUGUUAUUAGGGAAGAACAAAUGUGUAAGUAACUAUGCACGUCUUGACGGUACCUAAUCAGAAAGCCACGGCUAACUACGUG
rnacentral:rRNA from 1 species